rnacentral:tRNA from 1 species
AGGCGCGUAGCUCAGUGGUAGAGCACUUGCUCGACACGCAAGGGGUCAGCGGUUCAAUCCCGCUCGCGCCUA